GCCAACUAUAUUUAGUCCAACGACUCGAUCCAGCACGAUGUGAUUAAACAGCACACUCCCGUGAUACGCUUUUGAAAAGAAAAAAGAAACAGAAUCAGAAGGGGCUGGCGAGGAGCGGAAGCUAUAGGUCUACUGGAGAAGAGAGGACAUGGAGAUACGGAUCCAGAAAGUCCAGACUUUUCACAGUGCUCCUGCUCUGGCUAACCUCUGACAAAUCCAAAUAAGACUUACAAGAUGAAAGUCCUUCUGAUGUACAUUAUGAUCAAGGGUAAAGUAGUCUUGAUGGAUAAAAUGAGAACUGCCUCAGAAACCGCAUAGACACAAAUGAGUGGCUGACUUGGG